rnacentral:rRNA from 1 species
AGUGAACGCUGGCGGUAGGCCUAACACAUGCAAGUCGAACGGCAGCACAGUAAGAGCUUGCUCUUACGGGUGGCGAGUGGCGGACGGGUGAGGAAUUCAUCGGAAUCUACUUUUUCGUGGGGGAUAACGUAGGGAAACUUACGCUAAUACCGCAUACGACCUACGGGUGAAAGCAGGGGAUCUUCGGACCUUGCGCGAUUGAAUGAGCCGAUGUCGGAUUAGCUAGUUGGCGGGGUAGAGGCCCACCAAGGCGACGAUCCGUAGCUGGUCUGAGAGGAUGAUCAGCCACACUGGAACUGAGACACGGUCCAGACUCCUACGGGAGGCAGCAGUGGGGAAUAUUGGACAAUGGGCGCAAGCCUGAUCCAGCCAUACCGCGUGGGUGAAGAAGGCCUUCGGGUUGUAAAGCCCUUUUGUUGGGAAAGAAAAGCAGCAGGUUAAUACCCCGCUGUUCUGACGGUACCCAAAGAAUAAGCACCGGCUAACUUCGUG